rnacentral:rRNA from 1 species
UACGAAGGGGUCUAGCGUUGCUCGGAAUUACUGGGCGUAAAGCGCACGUAGGCGGCUCUUUAAGUCGGGGGUGAAAUCCUGGAGCUCAACUCCAGAACUGCCUUCGAUACUGUAGAGCUUGAGUUCGGGAGAGGUGAGUGGAACUGCGAGUGUAGAGGUGAAAUUCGUAGAUAUUCGCAAGAACACCAGUGGCGAAGGCGGCUCACUGGCCCGAUACUGACGCUGAGGUGCGAAAGCGUGGGGAGCAAACAGG